CUUUCCGCGAAAAACCAAUGCCAGCAUGGCCAUAAAACACUACAUACAAAUCGAAAUCUAAAAAGCGCGGAACUUUCAUAUAUUUUCCGUCGGAGCAAUUAUUUUUCAACCCUGUAGAAAAAGCGGGCUCAAUUAAUCGCGCGGAACGUUAUUUAUCUACUCUGUACAAAUAGUAGUGUUUAAAAUCGCGCGGAGAUUGUAGAAUGCUAUUUUAAGAAGUCUAUUAAAGAGAGAAAAUCCAGUAAAUACCAGAUCCAAAAAGCGCGGAACACAAAUAUCGUCCGCGAAAAUUAAGCAUUGAAUUACUGUACAAAUCUCGGGUUGUUAGGUGUUAGAAUCCCUAGUUACCCGAAAAAUUUGAUUGGAUCCGAUACUUAGAAAUAACCAAUCAGAUACUUUGUAACAAAUGCAACACAAUCAGUGCGUUCAGUAAGUAUAACGUUUCAAGAUGGCGGAGCGAAUUGCAUGGUUAUUGUUUCUACUCGAUGGAUUCGCAGAUAAUUCGGAAAUAGAUCAGAUUGGGAUCAAUAACUGUAUUGCAUACGAUCAUUUACAUGUAUUACCAGGUGUGUGUUGCCAGUAAUGGUUGAAGAUAUGCCAAACAAAUUGUGCCUCUCUAUACAGACAGAUUUCAGGUCUCAAUUUCGACUUCAAAGGUCAACAUAUCACUGAUAUCAGGGACUCAACAUUACACAGUCAUUUCAACAUGUUGAGUCUUGUCAGCAAUGAUGGAGCAGUACUUCAGAUUUCCAGAAUCUCGUCAUGAGCUGAAGAUCAUUGCCUAUGGAUUUCAUGAAUGAUGUAGAAUGAUUGGACUGUUGAUGGAACCCACAGUGCAUGUCCUGCUUCAACAUCUGAGCAUAGGUCCUUGUUUAUCAGCAGUUUAGUUCUUCAAGCAGUCUGUGACAGUAACUUGAAAUGUUUGGACAUAUGACCUGGAUGGCAAAGUUCUGUGCAUGAUGCCCAUUUAAAUAGGAACGGCCCAGUGGCGCAUUAAAUGGACAUUUUUCGAAUGUUCUCGAGGAUUCAGCUUACCGCCUGACAAGAAAUCUUGCUUUUUGUUCAGUAUCGAGGCCAUGGACAUUUGUAUCAUUUGCAAAAGAUACUGCGAUAUUUGUGCCUUUGUUCAUGCUUUAUAGUUGAUUAACAAUUGGAAGCCAUAACCUGUUUUAUAGGAUGGUGUUAGUGGGACAAUGAAUUUUGUAAAGAUUUAAAGACUGGAAAAGAUAAUUAAAAGUCAAAAGAGUUCUGCUAUUGUUAAGCAUGCUUUAUUGAUUUGUAAUGUUAGAAAGAUAGCAUUAUUAACAGAAUAAAAUGUCCAUAAUUUGAA